AUUGAACGCUGGCGGCAGGCCUAACACAUGCAAGUCGAGCGGAUGAAGGGAGCUUGCUCCUGGAUUCAGCGGCGGACGGGUGAGUAAUGCCUAGGAAUCUGCCUGGUAGUGGGGGAUAACGUCCGGAAACGGGCGCUAAUACCGCAUACUUCCUGAUGGAGCAAGUUGGGGAUCUUCGGACCUCACGCUAUCAGAUGAGCCUAGGUCGGAUUAGCUAGUUGGUGGGGUAAAGGCCUACCAAGGCGACGAUCCGUAACUGGUCUGAGAGGAUGAUCAGUCACACUGGAACUGAGACACGGUCCAGACUCCUACGGGAGGCAGCAGUGGGGAAUAUUGGACAAUGGGCGAAAGCCUGAUCCAGCCAUGCCGCGUGUGUGAAGAAGGUCUUCGGAUUGUAAAGAACUUUAAGUUGGGAGGAAGGGCAGUAAGUUAAUACCUUGCUGUUUUGACGUUACCAACAGAAUAAGCACCGGCUAACUUCGUG
rnacentral:rRNA from 1 species